rnacentral:rRNA from 1 species
UCCAGACUCCUACGGGAGGCAGCAGUGGGGAAUAUUGCACAAUGGGGGGAACCCUGAUGCAGCGACGCCGCGUGAGCGAGGAAGUAUUUCGGUAUGUAAAGCUCUGUCAGCAGGGAAGAAGAAUGACGGUACCUGAAGAAGAAGCACCGGCUAAAUACGUGCCAGCAGCCGCGGUAAUACGUAUGGUGCAAGCGUUAUCCGGAUUUACUGGGUGUAAAGGGAGCGCAGGCGGUUCUGCAAGUCUGAUGUGGAAGCCCGGGGCUCAACCGCGGGACUGCAUUGGAAACUGCGGGACUGGAGUGUCGGAGGGGUAAGCGGAAUUCCUGGUGUAGCGGUGAAAUGCGUAGAUAUCAGGAGGAACACCGGUGGCGAAGGCGGCUUACUGGACGAUGACUGACGCUGAGGCUCGAAAGCGUGGGGAGCAAACAGGAUUAGAUACCCGAGUAU